AUGGAGACGCUGAAUGGCCCCGCGGGCGGCGGCGCCCAGGACGCGAAGCCACAGCCGCCUGGCCAGCACCACCGCCACCACCACCUCCACCCGUUGGCCGAGAGGAGGCGACUGCACCGCGCGCCCUCGCCCGCCAGACCCUUCCUCAAAGAUCUGCACACCCGGACCACCAUGCCGGGCCCGGCUCCGGCUGCCCCCUCGUCUGGCCGAGCCCCGACACCCGCUGCUCCACGUUCACCUAGCCUAGCGGGCAGGGCACCGCCCUCGCCCGGAUCCCUGGCCGCGCCCGGCCGCCUCUCCAGGCGAAGCGGCGGCGUCCCCGGCGCGAAGGACAAGCCGCCGCCGGGCGCUGGGGCCAGAGCGGCAGGCGGCGCCAAGGCCGCCCCAGGAACCAGGAGGGCGGCGCGCACGGUGCCUGCUGAGCCUCUGCCCCGGGCGGGGAAGCCUCCUGUGGCCGAACCCUCAUCCGCUGCUGCCAAGGGCCGCAAAUCCAAGCGCGGCUUGGGAGCAGCUCCUGGCCGCGCCAUCGGCUCCAUGCCCCUGACUGCCCCGGUUCCCGCCGUGACCCUUUCUGUGACCUCGGCUGUCGGCGCAGUGCCCCCCGGCUCGCGCAUCAGCCACACGGACAGCAGCUCAGAUCUCUCCGACUGCCCCUCUGAACCUCUGUCGGAUGAGCAGCGUCUGCUCCCCGCAGCCAGCAGCGACGCUGAGUCCGGUACCGGCUCCAGUGACCGUGAACCCCUGCGAGGAGCCCCCACGCCGAGCCCGGCAGCCCGGGGAGCACCGCCUGGCAGCCCCGAGCCUCCAGCGCUCCUCGCCGCGGUCUCCUGUCUCGGUGGCCGAAGCAGUCCAGGCGGGAUCCCCCCGGGGUCCCCGGGUCUCGGUGCGGUAGAGGAUGCUGGGGGGCGCGUGCUGCCUGAGCGACCUGUCCCUGCGAUUCUCAAGGAGCCCAGCCAGCUUGAGCAGCCCCGGCUCCUGUCUGUCCCAGUGGCGGAGGAGGAGGAGCUGCUGCGGGAGAUGGAAGAGCUGCGCUCGGAGAACGACUACCUGAAGGAUGAGUUGGAUGAACUCCGUGCUGAGAUGGAAGAGAUGAGAGAUAGUUAUUUAGAGGAAGAUGUUUACCAGGUGCAGGAACUUCGGCGAGAACUGGACCGUGCUAACAAAAACUGCCGAAUCCUGCAGUACCGUCUCAGGAAAGCAGAGCAGAAAAGCCUGAAAGUGGCAGAGACUGGGCAGGUGGAUGGUGAGCUUAUCCGAAGCCUGGAGCAGGACUUGAAGGUGAGUAGGAGGGGUUGAUGGAGGGGGCAUUCCCAAGGGGCUGCUGUGGGCUGCAUCAUUUGUCUGAAAAUGUA
rnacentral:lncRNA from 1 species